rnacentral:ncRNA from 1 species
CCCCGAAAUGCAUUUAGGUGCAGCGUCGUGUGUUUCUUGCCGGAGGUAGAGCACUGGAUAGGCGAUGGGCCCUACCGGGUUACUGACCUUAGCCAAACUCCGAAUGCCGGUAAGUGAGAGCGCGGCAGUGAGACUGUGGGGGAUAAGCUCCAUGGUCGAGAGGGAAACAGCCCAGAGCAUCGACUAAGGCCCCUAAGCGUACGCUAAGUGGGAAAGGAUGUGGAGUCGCACAGACAACCGAGGAGGUUGGCUUAGAAGCAGCCACCCUUGAAAGAGUGCGUAAUAGCUCACUGGUCUAGUGGAUUCCGCGCCGACA